rnacentral:rRNA from 1 species
AUUGAACGCUGGCGGCAGGCCUAACACAUGCAAGUCGAACGAGUGGCGGACGGGUGAGUAAUGUCUGGGAAACUGCCUGAUGGAGGGGGAUAACUACUGGCAACGGUAGCUAAUACCGCAUACCAUCGGAUGUGCCCAGAUGGGAUUAGCUAGUAGGUGGGGUAACGGCUCACCUAGGCGACGAUCCCUAGCUGGUCUGAGAGGAUGACCAGCCAAACGGGAACGGGGACACGGGCCAGAGUCCUACGGGAGUAAGCAUAGGGGAAGAUUGCAAAAUGGGCGCAAGCCGGAUGAAGCCAUGCCGCGUGGAUGAAGAAGGCCUUCGGGUUGUAAAGUACGUUCAGCGGGGAGGCGUUACCCGAAGAAGAAGCACCGGCUAACUCCGUGCCAGCAGCCGCGGUAAUAC